GGUAAUUUACCUGCUGAAGGAACUGAACAGUUCAGUUCCUCUGCAAGGCAUGAGAAACAUCCUGUCAGAGUAUUACUCUCAGGAUACAGAGAAAGGAAUACCAAAAAGCUUGGGUGAGUAUAACAGCAGAGGCUGCAUGUACAAAGCAAGAUAAGGGUUGUACAAAUGUGGGAGGUAUGAAGUAGAGAUGGGGAGGGGCUUUCCAAUUCAUUUGCCAUAAAUAACAUCAGAGUGUCAGCAAUUGCAAAAAGCGUGGUUAUCAAAUGUACUGGUGAUUAUACUUGGCCACACUCCAGUACUCGAUCCACCACUUCUUCCUGUUAAGCAUCACAUCCUCUUAACUCUUGACUGCAAGGAAUAGACUCCGUGAUUAGAAGGAUAAAUGUAAAAUAAAUGUGCUGUGAGGACCACUAAAAGAAAAGAUCCAUCAGAUGUCUUUCAGAAUGUGAGCCUGAAUUGCUGACAAGUGGAAGAACAUGAGCUACAGCAGGACUUUGAGGAACCUGGGUUGCCCUGAAGAAAGAAAAAAAGAAAAAGAAGAAGAAAGAAAGAAAGAAAGACUUUCUAUAAAAGGAAUCUAAGUUUUUGCACCAGUGAAAACCCAGAUAUGAAACCUGGAUUAAAUUGUGCAAUCAUAAGCUUGUUUCUGUGAAUAUAUUUCCCCCUACUUCCCUUACGCAGGACUAGAAUCUCUUGAUGUUACUUCAGUCCCAAGAGCAUGGAACUGCGGUGCUGGAAAGUGCUGUAAUGAAAUCUAACCUCCUGAUGGCAUUGCUCUUAGCCUCCUUGACACAGUCAAAAUCCUUUACCACAUUAAGGUAUGUAUUCCAAUAAUUUACCAACAAUUUUUUCUUUGGAUCACAUUAGAACUGGCACAGGAGCUCUUAGGAGGAGUUCUGGUGAUUUUGGCUUAAAAGCCUCAACUAUUAACUAGACAAGCUGCUGGAACAAUAUACCAGCUCUGGAUCCCAGAUACCUUGUUUAUGCCUCCUUAUUUCUCAUUUGGCUAGAACUCCUGCAAAUAGCAACCAAUUGCUGUUGUCUAUAUCUUCCAGUUGAAUCCACUUGUAUUACUAUAGUCUAAAUCAGUGGUUCUUAACCUUUGUUACUCAGGUGUUUUUGAAGUGCAUCUCCCAGAAACCCCAGCCAGCAGAGCUGAUGGUGAAGACUUCUGGGAGUUGCAGUCCAAAAACAUCUGAGUAACAAAGGUUAAGA
rnacentral:lncRNA from 1 species